rnacentral:rRNA from 1 species
UACGUAGGGUGCAAGCGUUGUCCGGAAUUAUUGGGCGUAAAGAGCUCGUAGGCGGUUCGUCACGUCGGCUGUGAAAUCCCGAGGCUCAACCUCGGGUCUGCAGUCGAUACGGGCGGACUGGAGUACUGCAGGGGAGACUGGAAUUCCUGGUGUAGCGGUGAAAUGCGCAGAUAUCAGGAGGAACACCGGUGGCGAAGGCGGGUCUCUGGGCAGUAACUGACGCUGAGGCGCGAUAGCGUGGGGAGUCAAACAGGA